rnacentral:lncRNA from 1 species
UAUAAUUAAAUUAAUAAAUAAUAUAUAUUUAUGGAUAUUAUACUAAUUAAUAAUUAACUAUCACCAUCAUAAAUAAAAAAUUAAUAUUAUAUAUUAUAUCAAAAUUAAAUUAUACAAAUAAUACUGCUCAAAUAUCAAAUAUAUUACAUCAAAAUUAAAAAAUAAUCAACAAAGAUCGUUCUCCUCAUCCUCCUAUUCUUGCUUUUGUACGUCCUCUGCAGCA